CUGCCCGCAGCAGGGGGAUAAGCGGAAGAAAUUCCGUCUAAUACCGCGUAACAACGUUGGGAGGCAUCUCCCGAUGUUUAAAGAUUUAUCGGCUGCGGAUGGCCAUGCGGCGCAUUAGCUAGUCGGCGGGGUAACGGCCCACCGAGGCGACGAUGCGUAGGGGUUCUGAGAGGAAGGUCCCCCACACUGGUACUGAGACACGGACCAGACUCCUACGGGAGGCAGCAGUGAGGAAUAAUGGUCAAUGGCCGAGAGGCUGAACCAGCCAAGUCGCGUGAGGGAUGACGGCCCUACGGGUUGUAAACCUCUUUUGUCGGGGAGCAAAGGGAGUCACGUGUGACUCAUUGAGAGUACCCGAAGAAAAAGCAUCGGCUAACUCCGUGCCAGCAGCCGCGGUAAUACGGAGGAUGCGAGCGUUAUCCGGAUUUAUUGGGUUUAAAGGGUGCGCAGGCGGAGGUGCAAGUCAGCGGUCAAAUUGCGGGGCUCAACCCCGUACUGCCGUUGAAACUGCAUCCCUUGAGUGCGCGAGAAGUAUGCGGAAUGCGUGGUGUAGCGGUGAAAUGCAUAGAUAUCACGCAGAACUCCGAUUGCGAAGGCAGCAUACCGGCGCGCAACUGACGCUCAUACACGAAAGCGUGGGUAUCGAACAGGAUUAGAUACCCUGGUAGUCCACGCAGUAAACGAUGA
rnacentral:rRNA from 1 species